CCUUCCUAGUGGUGCAACCUGGGAUUUACAGCCUGAAAAGCUGGACUUCACACAGAUUCACAGGAAGCUCCGGAACACCCCCAAACACCCGCUCCCGCACAUAGACAGAGAAGGGCUCGGAAAAGGGAAGCACGAGGAUGGAGACGGAAUCAACCUGAAUGACAUAGAGAAAGUCCUUCCCGUCUGGCAGGGUUAUCAUCCAUUGCCACAUGAGGCUGAAAUUGCACACACCAAAAAACUAUUCAGAAGGAGGAGAAACGACCGGAGGUAGGAGAGACCUGUCCAA